UACGGAGGGGGCUAGCGUUGUUCGGAAUUACUGGGCGUAAAGCGUGCGUAGGCGGCUUAUUAAGUCAGAGGUGAAAGCCCGGGGCUCAACUCCGGAAUUGCCUUUGAAACUGGUAGGCUUGAACAUGGGAGAGGUAAGUGGAAUUCCGAGUGUAGAGGUGAAAUUCGUAGAUAUUCGGAGGAACACCAGUGGCGAAGGCGGCUUACUGGACCAUUGUUGACGCUGAGGCACGAAAGCGUGGGGAGCAAACAGG
rnacentral:rRNA from 1 species